CAGUCGCCGCGGUAAUACAGAGGGUGCGAGCGUUAAUCGGAUUUACUGGGCGUAAAGCGUGCGUAGGCGGCUUCUUAAGUCGGAUGUGAAAUCCCUGAGCUUAACUUAGGAAUUGCAUUCGAUACUGGGAAGCUAGAGUAUGGGAGAGGAUGGUAGAAUUCCAGGUGUAGCGGUGAAAUGCGUAGAGAUCUGGAGGAAUACCGAUGGCGAAGGCAGCCAUCUGGCCUAAUACUGACGCUGAGGUACGAAAGCAUGGGGAGCAAACAGGAUUAGAUACCCCUGUAGUCCCUGUCUCUUUUAC
rnacentral:rRNA from 1 species